GAUGAACGCUAGCGGCAGGCUUAAUACAUGCAAGUCGAGGGGCAGCGCAGUGUAGCAAUACAUGGGCGGCGACCGGCAAACGGGUGCGGAACACGUACGCAACCUUCCUUCAAGUGGAGAAUAGCCCAGGGAAACUUGGAUUAAUACUUCGUAAGAUUAAGAUGUGGCAUCACAUUCUAAUUAUGGUUCAGGCGCUUGAAGAUGGGCGUGCGGCNGAUUAGGUAGUUGGCGGGGUAACGGCCCACCAAGCCUGCGAUCAGUAACUGGUGUGAGAGCACGACCAGUCACACGGGCACUGAGACACGGGCCCGACUCCUACGGGAGGCAGCAGUAAGGAAUAUUGGUCAAUGGAC
rnacentral:rRNA from 1 species